UACGUAGGGUGCGAGCGUUGUCCGGAAUUAUUGGGCGUAAAGGGCUCGUAGGCGGUCUGUCGCGUCGGGAGUGAAAACUCGGGGCUUAACUCCGAGCCUGCUUCUGAUACGGGCAGACUAGAGGUAUGCAGGGGAGAAUGGAAUUCCUGGUGUAGCGGUGAAAUGCGCAGAUAUCAGGAGGAACACCGGUGGCGAAGGCGGUUCUCUGGGCAUGACCUGACGGCUGAGGAGCGAAAGUGUGGGGAGCGAACAGG
rnacentral:rRNA from 1 species